UACGUAGGGUGCAAGCGUUGCCCGGAUUUAUUGGGCGUAAAGGGCGCGUAGGCGGCUCUGCACGUUCGUUGUGAAAUCGCCCGGCUCAACUGGGCGGGGUCAGCGGAUACGGCAGAGCUUGAGCAAGCUAGGGGGCAAUGGAAUUCCCGGUGUAGUGGUGGAAUGCGUAGAGAUCCGGAAGAACACCGGUGGCGAAGGCGGCCUGCUGGGCAGUGGCUGACGCUGAGGCGCGACAGCGUGGGGAGCAAACAGG
rnacentral:rRNA from 1 species